rnacentral:rRNA from 1 species
UACGUAGGGGGCAAGCGUUGUCCGGAUUUACUGGGCGUAAAGGGCGCGUAGGCGGUCGUGACAAGUCACUUGUGAAAUCUCCGGGCUUAACUCGGAACGGUCAAGUGAUACUGUCGGACUAGAGUACAGAAGGGGCAACUGGAAUUCUCGGUGUAGCGGUGAAAUGCGUAGAUAUGCGGAGGAACACCAGUGGCGAAAGCGGCUUUCUGGUCCUUAACUGACGCUGAGGCGCGAAAGCAUGGGGAGCGAACGGG